rnacentral:rRNA from 1 species
GCUAACUCCGGUCCAGCAGGCGCGGGAAGACGGAGGGGGCAAGCGUGAAUCGGAAUGACUGGGCGUAAAGCGCACGCAGGCGGUUGGAUAAGUCAGAUGUGAAAGCCCCGGGCGCAACCUGGGAACUGCAUUUGAAACUGUUCGACUAGAGUCUGGUAGAGGGGGGUAGAAUUCCAGGUGUAGCGGUGAAAUGCGUAGAGAUCUGGAGGAAUACCGGUGGCGAAGGCGGCCCCCUGGACAAAGACUGACGCUCAGGUGCGAAAGCGUGGGGAGCAAACAGGAUUAGAUACCCUGGUAGUC